AACCUCCGCAAUGUGAGAAAUCGCGACGGGGGGAUCCCAAGUGCCAUUCUUAACGGGAUGGCUUUUCAUUAGUGUAAAGAGCUUUUGGAAUAAGGGCUGGGCAAGACCGGUGCCAGCCGCCGCGGUAACACCGGCAGCUCUAGUGGUAGCAGUUUUUAUUGGGCCUAAAGCGUCCGUAGCCGGUUUAAUAAGUCUCUGGUGAAAUCCUGUAGCUUAACUGUGGGAAUUGCUGGAGAUACUAUUAGACUUGAGACCGGGAGAGGUUAGAGGUACUCCCAGGGUAGAGGUGAAAUUCUGUAAUCCUGGGAGGACCGCCUGUUGCGAAGGCGUCUAACUGGAACGGUUCUGACGGUGAGGGACGAAAGUUAGGGGCGCGAACCGGAUUAGAUACCCGGGUAGUCCUAACUGUAAACGAUGCGGACUUGGUGUUGGGGUGGCUUUGAGCUGCUCCAGUGCCGAAGGGAAGCUGUUAAGUCCGCCGCCUGGGAAGUACGGUCGCAAGACUGAAACUUAAAGGUAAU
rnacentral:rRNA from 1 species